AAUCCAUAGGUUAAUGAGGCGAACCGGGGGAACUGAAACAUCUAAGUACCCCGAGGAAAAGAAAUCAACCGAGAUUCCCCCAGUAGCGGCGAGCGAACGGGGAGGAGCCCAGAGCCUGAAUCAGCAUGUGUGUUAGUGGAAGCGUCUGGAAAGGCGCGCGAUACAGGGUGACAGCCCCGUACACAAAAGCGCAUGUGCUGUGAGCUCGAUGAGUAGGGCGGGACACGUGGUAUCCUGUCUGAAUAUGGGGGGACCAUCCUCCAAGGCUAAAUACUCCUGACUGACCGAUAGUGAACCAGUACCGUGAGGGAAAGGCGAAAAGAACCCCGGCGAGGGGAGUGAAAAAGAACCUGAAACCGUGUACGUACAAGCAGUGGGAGCACAGGUUUACCUGUGUGACUGCGUACCUUUUGUAUAAUGGGUCAGCGACUUAUAUUCUGUAGCAAGGUUAACCGUAUAGGGGAGCCGGAGGGAAACCGAGUCUUAAUUGGGCGUUAAGUUGCAGGGUAUAGACCCGAAACCCGGUGAUCUAGCCAUGGGCAGGUUGAAGGUUGGGUAACACUAACUGGAGGACCGAACCGACUAAUGUUGAAAAAUUAGCGGAUGACCUGUGGCUGGGGGUGAAAGGCCAAUCAAACCGGGAGAUAGCUGGUUCUCCCCGAAAGCUAUUUAGGUAGCGCCUCGUGAAUUCAUCUCCGGGGGUAGAGCACUGUUUCGGCUAGGGGGCCAUCCCGGCUUACCAACCCGAUGCAAACUGCGAAUACCGGAGAAUGUUAUCACGGGAGACACACGGCGGGUGCUAACGUCCGUCGUGAAGAGGGAAACAACCCAGACCGCCAGCUAAGGUCCCAAAGUCAUGGUUAAGUGGGAAACGAUGUGGGAAGGCCCAGACAGCCAGGAUGUUGGCUUAGAAGCAGCCAUCAUUUAAAGAAAGCGUAAUAGCUCACUGGUCGAGUCGGCCUGCGCGGAAGAUGUAACGGGGCUAAACCAUGCACCGAAGCUGCGGCAGCGAACGUAUCACCCAAGACAACUUUACGGAGUUGACGAUUGACGGAGCGAAGCGACGUCAAAGCGUUCAUUAAAGUCGAGUUGGCUUAGGGAUACGUU
rnacentral:rRNA from 1 species